AAAAGACUUAGUCCUAACCUUACCGUUAAUUUGUGCUAAACAUAUACAUGCAAGUAUCCGCGUACCAGUGCAAAUGCCCUCAAUCCCUUAUCAAGACAGAAGGAGCAGGUAUCAGGCACACCCACCACGUUGUAGCCCAAGACGCCUUGCCUAGCCACACCCCCACGGGUACUCAGCAGUAAUUAACAUUAAGCAAUAAGUGUAAACUUGACUUAGUUAUAGCCCCCCAGGGUCGGUAAAUCUUGUGCCAGCCACCGCGGUCACACAAGAGACCCAAAUUAACUGUUAUGCGGCGUAAAGAGUGGGUUAUUACUAUCCAAGCAACUAGGAUUAAAACGCAACUGAGCUGUCAUAAGCCCAAG
rnacentral:rRNA from 1 species